UACAAGAACUUUGAUUUUUUAGCUGCCUAAAUAUAAGUUUAAAUGUCAUAAAUGUUACUUACUUACUUAACUACCCUUAUUUCAUCUAUAUUCUUUUAUAUAUAAUUUUUUUUAAAUUUAAUUUCUAAGCAGAGUAAGGGAUCCAUCCAUUAGUUUUACCAUGGAGCAACAUUUUCUACCAGGAAUUUUGGUCUUAUCAAAAAAUAAGAUAUCACA